rnacentral:tRNA from 1 species
GCACCAAUAGCUCAGUGGAGAGAGCAACUGCCUUCUAAGCAGUAGGUCCUAGGUUCAAAUCCUAGUUGGUGUA